GGACUGACACUGACGCUGAGGUACGAAAGCGUGGGUAGCAAACAGGAUUAGAUACCCUGGUAGUCCACGCCGUAAACGAUGUCGACUAGCCGUUGGGGUCCUCGAGACCUUUGUGGCGCAGUUAACGCACUAAGUCGACCGCCUGGGGAGUACGGCCGCAAGGUUAAAACUCAAAUGAAUUGACGGGGGCCCGCACAAGCGGUGGAGCAUGUGGUUUAAUUCGAUGCAACGCGAAGAACCUUACCUACCCUUGACAUCGUGCGAACUUUCUAGAGAUGGAUUGGUGCCUUCGGGAGCGCACAGACAGGUGCUGCAUGGCUGUCGUCAGCUCGUGUUGUGAAAUGUUGGGUUAAGUCCCGUAACGAGCGCAACCCUUGUCCCUAUUUGCCAGCGAUUCGGUCGGGAACUCUAGGGAGACUGCCGGUGACAAACCGGAGGAAGGUGGGGACGACGUCAAGUCAUCAUGGCCCUUACGGGUAGGGCUACACACGUGCUACAAUGGCCGGUACAAUGGGUUGCAAAGCGGCGACGUGGAGCUAAUCUCAUAAAGCCGGUCUCAGUCCGGAUCGGAGUCUGCAACUCGACUCCGUGAAGUCGGAAUCGCUAGUAAUCGUGCAUCAGAAUGGCACGGUGAAUACGUUCCCGGGCCUUGUACACACC
rnacentral:rRNA from 1 species